AACGCUAGCUACAGGCUUAACACAUGCAAGUCGAGGGGAAACGACAUCGAAAGCUUGCUUUUGAUGGGCGUCGACCGGCGCACGGGUGAGUAACGCGUAUCCAACCUGCCCAUCACUUGGGGAUAACCUUGCGAAAGUAAGACUAAUACCCAAUGACGUCUCUAGAAGACAUCUGAAAGAGAUUAAAGAUUUAUCGGUGAUGGAUGGGGAUGCGUCUGAUUAGCUUGUUGGCGGGGUAACGGCCCACCAAGGCGACGAUCAGUAGGGGUUCUGAGAGGAAGGUCCCCCACAUUGGAACUGAGACACGGUCCAAACUCCUACGGGAGGCAGCAGUGAGGAAUAUUGGUCAAUGGGCGAGAGCCUGAAUCAGCCAAGUAGCGUGCAGGAUGACGGCCCUAUGGGUUGUAAACUGCUUUUAUAAGGGAAUAAAGUUAGUCUCGUGAGACUUUUUGCAUGUACCUUAUGAAUAAGGACCGGCUAAUUCCGUGCCAGCAGCCGCGGUAAUACGGAAGGUCCGGGCGUUAUCCGGAUUUAUUGGGUUUAAAGGGAGCGUAGGCCGGAGAUUAAGCGUGUUGUGAAAUGUAGACGCUCAACGUCUGCACUGCAGCGCGAACUGGUUUCCUUGAGUACGCACAAAGUGGGCGGAAUUCGUGGUGUAGCGGUGAAAUGCUUAGAUAUCACGAAGAACUCCGAUUG
rnacentral:rRNA from 1 species